GACGAACGCUGGCGGCGUGCUUAACACAUGCAAGUCGAACGGAAGGGCCCUGCUUUUGUGGGGUGCUCGAGUGGCGAACGGGUGAGUAACACGUGAGUAACCUGCCCUUGACUUUGGGAUAACUUCAGGAAACUGGGGCUAAUACCGGAUAGGAGCUCCUGCUGCAUGGUGGGGGUUGGAAAGUUUCGGCGGUUGGGGAUGGACUCGCGGCUUAUCAGCUUGUAGGUGGGGUAGUGGCUUACCAAGGCUUUGACGGGUAGCCGGCCUGAGAGGGUGACCGGCCACAUUGGGACUGAGAUACGGCCCAGACUCCUACGGGAGGCAGCAGUGGGGAAUAUUGCACAAUGGGCGGAAGCCUGAUGCAGCAACGCCGCGUGCGGGAUGACGGCCUUCGGGUUGUAAACCGCUUUCGCCUGUGACGAAGCGUGAGUGACGGUAAUGGGUAAAGAAGCACCGGCUAACUACGUG
rnacentral:rRNA from 1 species